rnacentral:snRNA from 1 species
GUGCUUCAGCAGCACAUACACUAAAACCGCAAAGAUACAGAGAAGAUUAGCAUGGCC